CAGCUACAAUUUCUCCAGAACAUUUUCAACCACAUGUUGACUUAUAUCCUGACUUCCAAGAAGCAGCUGAGGCAUAUAAAGCAGCUGAAGUUUCAGCAGAACAUCUACAAGGAAAUAUUGAGGAAGAACCAGUAAUUGAUGAAGUAGCUGAGGCACAACAAGCAGAAGGUGAAGUUCCACAGUCGCCAAUUCACGGUGUG